rnacentral:rRNA from 1 species
GUAGGGUGCGAGCGUUGUCCGGAAUUACUGGGCGUAAAGGGCUCGUAGGUGGUUUGUCGCGUCGUCUGUGAAAUUCUGGGGCUUAACUCCGGGCGUGCAGGCGAUACGGGCAUAACUUGAGUGCUGUAGGGGUAACUGGAAUUCCUGGUGUAGCGGUGAAAUGCGCAGAUAUCAGGAGGAACACCGAUGGCGAAGGCAGGUUACUGGGCAGUUACUGACGCUGAGGAGCGAAAGCAUGGGCAGCGAACAGGAUUAGAUACCCUGGUAGUCCAUGCCGUAAACGGUGGGCGCUAGGUGUGAGGGUCUUUCUACGACUUUCGUGCCGUAGCUAACGCAUUAAGCGCCCCGCCUGGGGAGUACGGCCGC